UACGAAGGGGGCUAGCGUUGCUCGGAAUUACUGGGCGUAAAGCGUGCGCAGGCGGUUGUGUAAGACAGGUGUGAAAUCCCCGGGCUUAACCUGGGAAUUGCAUUUGUGACUGCACGACUAGAGUGUGUCAGAGGGGGGUGGAAUUCCACGUGUAGCAGUGAAAUGCGUAGAUAUGUGGAGGAACACCAAUGGCGAAGGCAGCCCCCUGGGAUAACACUGACGCUCAUGCACGAAAGCGUGGGGAGCAAACAGG
rnacentral:rRNA from 1 species